GGCAAAAGGUUUUGCAGCUCAUGGAGGUGCAUGGAAAGAAUGCCAUUCAACAUGAAGAUUUCUUCAUAACAAAAUGCCACCAGGCCUGCAGGAGUGGAAGCAGUGGUCACUUCCGCUGCCCUUUCUGCCUCAAGACCACAAUAAAAAGGCAGGAUGCACUGAGGCAUUUGCAGAUCUGUAGGCCACCUUUCCAUGACGCCCAGUUGGACGCUGAUGCCGACUGCAGAGAGAUGGGCAUCACUUCCCAGACAGGAGUGCAAAGCAGGAUCAGUGAACCUACCUCAUCUCAGCACUGACAAACUGCCUGUAUCGGUACAUGAUAGUGAAAUACAAGGACAAAGAGACCCAGCAGAGAGAUCCCAAGACCCACCGCCAGAAUCCUUCUUGCCUUUCAGUCCUAUCCUGGACAACCCUCCCUGCAGAGUGAGCCGUGCAAAGUUGCCAAAUGUACUUUGUCCUCACUGUAACGUGAAGUUCCAAAGAAAAAAUAUCAAGAAGCACAUUUACAGACAACACACCGAUAAAGCUGUCAGAGAUAUCACUGCAAAUUCCCAUGCUGUAUGCAUUGAUGAAAAGAAUGGGAUAUAUGCUGUGAAAAAGUUGUUUCUUGGACCUUUUGUGCCUCUUCAUGUCCAAAAGAAAACCUGGGGAAAAAGAG